rnacentral:tRNA from 1 species
GCCCCGCUAGCUCAGUGGAAGAGCACCUGCCUUCUAAGCAGAUGGUCCGGGGUUCGAAUCCUCGGCGGGGCGCCA